ACAGGUUUUUGAGACUGCAGCAUGCUAAAGAGAGCUUCCCAUCUCCCCUCUGCACAGUUGCAUUUGAAAUCUCAUAAUGCAGCUGCCACAAUGCAGGUUGCCAAUGUAGGCAACCUCAACAAGAUUGGUAAGAAAGGCAAGUUCAGCUGUAUUGUGGAAAAAAGGAUUUAAGCAAAGAUUGAACCUGGUGAAAUGCAGAUAGCUGGUCCACUUGAGGACAUUCCAUUUCUUCGCUUCUCCAAUGGAGCAGGUGUCUGCACGCAGCUCACAUGCUUAUAUGUAUGGUGGCAUUGCCUACUCUCUACCCAGUUGUCCCACCAACUCCCUACACUCUACACCACUGAAAUCUGUGCAAACAAGAUCAAGCUACUGAUCAUCUUCUGAACAAUGAAUUCUUUUCUGACAGGGAAGGAUUGUUCUGCAACUCAUGUGGAGCACCAAGGGUGCUGGAGACUCAGGUCCAUAGAACCCAACUUUACCAUACGGAUGUGCAUCAUAACACUGUAUCAUGAUAAUGCAAGACUAAACACCGGACUUGAUGCCCAGGGCAAUGAUGCUGUGUUUAUCAAACAAUAAAACUAUUAUCUUAAAAAUCUGUGUAACUUGAAACCAUCCUAGAUGAUUCAAUACCUCAAGGCUUUCAAGAGAACAAACAUUGUGAACAAUGACUUGACUUUCUUAUGAAGAGAAUUAAUUAAAUUGUAAACCAAUUUUUACGCACCCUGAUGAUUUUUUGUGUUGUUUCCUGAGCCGAGUAUCCUUGAGAAAUUCAACAGUGAUAAGUAAAAUUGCAUUGUAACUGAUCAGGAUUUGUUCAACAUUCAGUGUUUAUUGACCAGAAGCAGUUAAAGUGUUUGGGUAAGGAAUAUAGACUCAGACCAGACUGCCCUAGCUCCAACCCAGCUUCUCCACUUAAUAGCUAUGAAGUUGAGCAAUUUAGUGAACCUCUCAGUGCUUCAGUUUUCUCUAUAAAAUGGGGGAUAAUUUGAAUCUAUCUGCAGAUGCUACGUGGGUUAAAGAAGAGCAUAUGGGCUUAUAACAAUGCCUGAAACAUAGCAAGUGCUCUAUAGAUGGUAUCCGUU
rnacentral:lncRNA from 1 species